rnacentral:misc_RNA from 1 species
AAUGUGAUAUUGUGGGUAAAGUAUAGUGUUAAGUACAAAUCAUUGUUGUAAAUGUAAUGACACUUGCCCAUUUUUACAUUUAAAAUUGUAGAGUCGCUAUUGAAUAUUUGAAUCAAUUGUACGUAGUUUGUUACUUUCUUUAGCUCAUCUUCAAAGAUGCAUAUCUUAAUGUGUUUUUGAGCAACAUAAUCAAAGCCUUGUUUGCUAAGGGAAUCAUUUGAACUGAUCAUUUUUUUUUUAUAUUUAUCUUUUGUUGACUUGAAACAUGUAUCCACAACGUUCUGCUGCAUCUUUGAACUUGU